rnacentral:rRNA from 1 species
CCUACGGGGAGCUGCAGUGAGGAAUAUUGGUCAAUGGCCGGAAGGCUGAACCAGCCAUGCCGCGUGAAGGUCAGUGCCCUAUGGGCGUUAAACUUCUUUUGUGCGGGAGCAAUAAUGGUCACGUGUGGCCAGACGAGAGUACCGUACGAAUAAGCAUCGGCUAACUCCGUGCCAGCAGCCGCGGUAAUACGGGGGAUGCAAGCGUUAUCCGGAUUUAUUGGGUUUAAAGGGUGCGUAGGCUGUGAGGUAAGUCAGCGGUGAAAUGCCCCCGCUCAACGGGGUGAAGUGCCAUUGAUACUGCCUGGCUGGAAUGCGGAUGCCGUGGGAGGAAUGUGUGGUGUAGCGGUGAAAUGCAUAGAUAUCACACAGAACACCGAUUGCGAAGGCAUCUCACGAAUCCGCGAUUGACGCUGAUGCACGAAAGCGUGGGUAUCAAACAGGAUUAGAUACCCGAGUAGUC